AAGCCCGGGCCCAGGAGGGGCGCCCCCUACAGCCCCCCAAGCUGCCGGGCGCCCUGCAGCCCCCUGGACGAGCUCAGCAGCCUCUUCAACUCCGGCCGCAGCGUGCUGCGCAGGUCGGCGGCGGGGCGCAGGAUUCGUGAGGACGGAGGUUUUGAAACUAACUUGAACCUAACCAGUCAGGAUGAUCCUGGUACAUCAGAAAUCGCUUCAGAGACUCAAGAUAGAAAUGCGAACAACCACGGAAUUCAGUUCUCUAAUUCACUGUCUAGUGCUGUACCUGCUGAAAAUGGAAAUUCUGUCUCCAAUGGUCUCGCUGAGGAUGCUGAAUACCCGCGGGUGUGUGUGAGCGGCACAGGGCCGCCGUCGUUCCGGAGACAUCGGGAGAGUCACAGCGCUCAGGUCAUCCACCAGCUGCGGCUCUCAGAGAAUGAGAGUGUGGCCCUGCAGGAGCUGCUGGACUGGAGGCGGAAGCUCUGCGAGGAGAGAGACUGGCAGCAGGUCCUGCAGCAACAAGAGCCCUGUGCACCCCCGCCGCCGCCCUGCAAGAAGCCCACGCUGCUGAAGAAGCCAGAAGGGGCCUCCUGCAGCCGCCUGCCCCCCAAGCUCUGGGACACCACCAUCUAGGGCCCUGGGCUGCAGACACAAGGACGCAGGCUGCCUUGGGGGACACUGCAUUGACCCUCUCCCCACACAUCGAUUAGAAAAAGCACCGGACACGGAUGCUCCGAUAGGACGCAUUUCCUGUGUGCGUGUGUGUGGGUGUGCGUGCGUGUGUGUGGGGUGUGUUCUUUCUUCCCUUUUCUGUGAUUGUCAGGCUCCACAUUUAUAGGGCUGCACUCCCCACAAGUGGGGACAGAAAAGCCAGGCGCGUGAGCCGAGGAGGGGCGGCAGCCAGCAGGGAGCAGUGACAGGGGACCCACGGGCGCCUGGGCAGGGCAGUUCCCUGGAGCUCGGCCACAUGGCUCACCCUCACCGCGGCUUCGUGCUGCUCCUGUGCACAAGACUCACUUGUUUAUUUCCUCCUAGGUGUUUGUGUUCUGUUUGAAUUCCAACUCAGUGAUUAUUUGCGCGUAGAAGACUGUGUUUUAUAACUCGAUGCACUUGGUGGUGCGCCCUUCUUUCGAACACAAAUUUUAAAACGCCACUUCUAGGUUUUUCCCUUCACACGUGUUGUUUGAUUGACCUGGAUUGUCCACCCCCUGGGGACCAUGUUGUUGCUUGGCUUUGCAGUGUCACCUUGGGCCCAGCCCCAUGGUGUCUUAGACUUCGCUCUCGGUUAGGGGACAGCUGGAUCCCUCAGCCGGCCUCUGCAUUUGGGGCAGCGGCCUGUGUGCCCCUUAGCAAAACCCCGCCCCGCCCUGGCUUUGGUGCUCAGCUACGCGUGCAUGGCUUCCGGUUCA
rnacentral:lncRNA from 1 species